UCAAUAUCUUUGGAGUCUUGUGGGUUACCAUUUUACCUCAUAAGAUGAAAACUCUAUCAAUUAAAAUGUUCUGUUCAAUUCAAUGCCUCGCCAGACAUCUGUUCCCUUUGCAUGUAAAAGAGAUAAAGAAAGCGACAAAAGCCAUAAAGAAAGAUCUUUAGAGCUGGAUGAAUUGUGAGUGAAUGAGCUGGGGCAAAAGAAACACACAGAAACUGACAGAAGAGAGUAAGCACACAAAAGUAAUUUGCGUAUGUUGCAUUUGCUUCUCUUGCGUGCUCACUGCUCUUUCUGUCAGAUUCCGGUGCUGAUCUCUUUGGCCUGUCCUUGUUCUCUUUGUCUCAGUUUCUCUCUCUCUCACAUACACAAGCUCUCUCUCUCUUGAUUAUCUCCAAACUAAGGUAAGAGGAUACAAUCGGAAUGAUGGCUUGUUCUUGUUUAUUGAUUUUGGUUCGAUCUGAUUGCCUGGCGGUGUGAGAUCUUUAAACUUUAACCAUUAAUAAUUGAUUAUACUUUAAGGUAUGCGUAGUAUCGAAAAAGCAAUUAAUCUAAGUGUUAACGCGUGGUUAAGUUAAAUUAAGCAUGGUAACCUAGUUCUUAAUAGACUGGUCCUUAAUUUCUCGAUUUAUGUAUAUAUUAUUGUUUAUUGUUUAUUUUUUCCUUUUUUCUUUUUAAUCCCUAGUUCCAUUCUAUAUACUCAUAUAAAUAAUAUGUCAUUUGAUUCAUGCGAUCAUCAUAUCAUCUUAUUUUUCAUGAAUAAGAUGUUGCAAGAUAGCUGUUGUUCAAAAAAAAAAAAAAGAUGUUGCAAGAUAGCUUCGUCAUUAUAAGAAUGAGUUGUUCGCUUUUUAGUUAAUUAAAUAGUUAUGCUAGUAUAUACUUCAUUAAAAACAAUUAUGCCGGUAUAUAGUCAGUUGUAAACAUUUUUUAUAAAUACGUGUAAUAAUGUUACAUUUCAUGAUACUUUUUUUUUGUUAAUGAAGAUAUAAUUAUGUGUACCAAUAUUGAUCACAUGAAUCUUGUGGGAAUAUUCUUGUGUGGUUUGUUUUGUUAGAUUAAUUUGAGAGCAUGUUCUUAUUUUCAUCUGCUUUUCAGACACACAUUUUGGAUGCACUAAUACAGCCUAUAGUGUAUGACUUUGUGGUAUUGGUGCCACAUGUUGAUGUGUCAUGUGUUUCCGCUUUUGUACUGUUAAGGACGUUGAAAAAUAUUGUUGUUUGUCGACAAUCAAUACUAGUCAUUAGUUUUUGGUCC